rnacentral:misc_RNA from 1 species
GGUAUAUUUACAGUUUUGUGAAGGAGCAUAAUCAUGAGCUCUUACCAGCCCAGGUGCACUUCUUUCGAAGCCACAGAAAUGUUGAUCCUCUUAAGAAUGAUGCUAGAAUAAGGAGACGAAAGAAUAUGACUGCAGUGUCCAAAUUAUUUGGCGCAUAUCAAAAUGUUGAUUGUUUGGAUGGAUAUAUGAGAAAUCAGCAUGAUAAGGGGCGC